rnacentral:rRNA from 1 species
UACGAGGGGGGCGAGCGUUGUUCGGAAUUAUUGGGCGUAAAGGGCGCGUAGGCGGCGCGGUAUGUCACCUGUGAAAUCUCCUGGCUCAACUGGGAGCUUGCAGGCGAAACUGCCGUGCUGGAGUGUGGGAGAGGUGCGUGGAAUUCCCGGUGUAGCGGUGAAAUGCGUAGAUCUUGGAAAGACCACCAAUGGCGAAGGCACUCUACUGGGCCAUAACUGACACUAAGAGACGAAAGCUAGGGGAGCAAAUGGG